UGGGGGGAAACCCUGAUGCAGCCAUGCCGCGUGUGUGAAGAAGGCCUUCGGGUUGUAAAGCACUUUCAGUAGGGAGGAAGGUAGUGUAGUUAACACCUGCAUUAUUUGACGUUACCUACAGAAGAAGCACCGGCUAACUCCGUGCCAGCAGCCGCGGUAAUACGGGAGGGUGCGAGCGUUAAUCGGAAUUACUGGGCGUAAAGCGCAUGCAGGCGGCCUGUUAAGUCAGAUGUGAAAGCCCGGGGCUUAACCUCGGAAUUGCAUUUGAAACUGGCAGGCUAGAGUCUUGUAGAGGGGGGUAGGAAUUUCAGGUGUAGCGGUGAAAUGCGUAGAGAUCUGAAGGAAUACCAGUGGCGAAGGCGGCCCCCUGGACAAAGACUGACGCUCAGAUGCGAAAGCGUGGGGAGCAAACAGGAUUAGAUACCCUGGUAG
rnacentral:rRNA from 1 species